rnacentral:rRNA from 1 species
AACGAACGCUGGCGGCAGGCUUAACACAUGCAAGUCGAGCGCCCCGCAAGGGGAGCGGCAGACGGGUGAGUAACGCGUGGGAACGCACCCUUUGCUACGGAAUAGCUCCGGGAAACAGGAAUUAAUACCGGAUGUGCCCUAAGGGGGCAAGAUUUAUCGUCAAAGGAUCGGCCAGCGUUGGAUUAGCUAGUUGGUGGGGUAAUGGCCUACCAAGGCGACGAACCAUAGCUGGUCUGAGAGGAUGAUCAGACACAUUGGGAGUGAGACACGGCCCCAACUCCUACGGGAGGCAGCAGUGGGGAAUAUUGGACAAUGGGCGCAAGCCUGAUCCAGCCAUGCCGCGUGAGUGAUGAAGGCCUUAGGGUUGUAAAGCUCUUUCACCGGAGAAGAUAAUGACGGUAUCCGGAGAAGAAGCCCCGGCUAACUUCGUGCCAGCCGCCGCCGUAACAC